rnacentral:lncRNA from 1 species
GGAUCACAAAUGCUAGCUUUCAUAUGGAUUUCAAGCUGGGUGAAAUGACUUUUUUUGCUUGUAAAGAAGAAAUGAUGAUGGAGGUCUCAUCAGGAAGUGAUGCAGAAGACUGGGACAGUGAAACAACCAGCUGUCCAUGUGAGACCAUGCAUUUCCUUAUCCAAAUGAAGUUAAAGAAAUUAUUUGUCAGCUUUUUUGGUGGUAUGUGGUAACUCCUUUUCCUGAUUUGAAUUAUCUUCCUCCACGUUUUUACGUAUCAAUCCUGCAUUCAAACAUUUACUCAUUCUGAAACAAAUUUUAGUAUAUGUUAUAAGGUAUUGAUCCAGAUUUUUACGUUUAUAAUAGUUAACAUCUCCAAACCAUUUAUUGAUAUUAAUUUCACCUUCAUCAUAUUGUAAAUUAUAGUUUUGAUUUUCCUUUUUGACAAUGAAUUAUCUAAGAGGAUACUUUAGAAUUUUCAAACUUAAUAAAAAACUUUU